rnacentral:rRNA from 1 species
UACAGAGGGUGCAAGCGUUAAUCGGAGUUACUGGGCGUAAAGGACGCGUAGGCGGUUAUUUAAGUUAGAUGUGAAAUCCCUGGGCUUAACCUAGGAACUGCAUCUAAUACUGAGUAGCUAGAGUACUGUAGAGGAUAGUGGAAUUUCCGGUGUAGCGGUGAAAUGCGUAGAGAUCGGAAGGAACACCAGUGGCGAAGGCGACUAUCUGGACAGAUACUGACGCUGAGGCGCCGAGAGCGUGGGGAGCAAACAGG